rnacentral:misc_RNA from 1 species
CUGAAGUGAGUCUUCAUCAUUGAAGCUUCUUCCCAUUGUGCUGGCUUUGACCGUAUGUAAUGUUGGGGAUUAAACAUGGUUGAAUUUUUUUAGCCGUCCCCAACAAUUUAUCUUAUCCUUUAUAAAAUUGAACUGAACUCAUUUUGAGAUUACAUAAAAAAUAA